rnacentral:rRNA from 1 species
UACAGAGGUCUCGAGCGUUGUUCGGAUUCAUUGGGCGUAAAGGGUGCGUAGGUGGCGCUGUAAGUCGGGUGUGAAAUUCCGUGAGCUUAACCUCCGGAACUGCAUUCGAUACUGCGGCGCUUGAGGACUGGAGAGGAGACUGGAAUUCAUGGUGUAGCAGUGAAAUGCGUAGAGAUCAUGAGGAAGACCAGUGGCGAAGGCGGGUCUCUGGACAGUUCCUGACACUGAGGCACGAAGGCCAGGGGAGCAAACGGGAUUAGAACUACCCGAGUCAGUCCAAGAC